GAUGAACGCUAGCGGCAGGUUUAAUACAUGCAAGUCGAGGGGUAGCAAGAUUGUAGCAAUACAAUUGUUGACGACCGGCAAACGGGUGCGGAACACGUACACAACCUUCCUACAAGUGGGGAAUAGCCCAGAGAAAUUUGGAUUAAUACCCCGUAACAUAGCGAUGUGGCAUCACAUUGCUAUUAUAGCUUCGGCGCUUGUUGAUGGGUGUGCGGCUGAUUAGAUAGUUGGCGGGGUAACGGCCCACCAAGUCUACGAUCAGUAGCUGAUGUGAGAGCAUGAUCAGCCACACGGGAACUGAGACACGGGCCCGACUCCUACGGGAGGCAGCAGUAAGGAAUAUUGGACAAUGGACGCAAGUCUGAUCCAGCCAUGCCGCGUGAAGGAUUAAGGUCCUCUGGAUUGUAAACUUCUUUUAUAAGGGACGAAAAAAGGUCUUUCUAGAUCGUCUGACGGUACCUUAUGAAUAAGCACCGGCUAACUCCGUGCCAGCCGCCGCAGUAACAC
rnacentral:rRNA from 1 species